GGGAGAGUAUGCAUGCAUCCUCAGCAAAUUUUUAGCCUGUCACUGGACUUAAUCAGCCGCCAAUAUGAAGAAAAUUUUGUUAAUAUUUAAUGAUUGAUCAGACAAAUUUUUAGUUCAAUUAAUUUUGCAUAAAAGUGAUUUGCAUUUGCAAUCUGAUGGAGUGAAAACAAAUUACUCCGAGAGAAAAUAAUUAGGUAUAAAUAAUCAACGUUCUAGUGAGCUACAAGUUGCCUGAAGCAUUCGAUGCGUCUGUGAGCAUGUAUGAGCUCCACAUGAUGUACUUGCAUUGAGGGAGCUAGUUGAGGCUGCCUGCUGCCUGCAGUAGUGGAGGUACGUGCGCAAGUCCGCCGUGACGUCCCUGUCACGUCAAUUUCACCAACUAUGUCAGAGCUGAAUCCGCAUCAAAGUACAGUCUAGCUCAUAUAUUGUCUACGUGCAUGCGUUAUGAUAUUCCUCGAUUUCAAUACUUCACCCGGCCGGUUGGCGUUACGCUCGAUCGAGUACUGCAUCAAGAAACACCCUUAAUUGUGUUGUUUCACCUUGAAUGGUUGCCAUGUGGACACACAAACGCAUGUGGAUGGUUUAAUUCCAAGUUGUUUUUCAGACAGACAGAGAGAGGAU
rnacentral:lncRNA from 1 species